UUUGCGGAUACGGAUGCGGAUAGAUGGAAUACCAGCCUAAUUUUUACUCAUGAUAGAAAAUCGGAAGUACCAUCCGUGCUUAUGACAAGAGCCAAUUGUGCACAAUACUCACUGAAGUGGCGCUCUAAAAUUAGAUAUUUAAACCAGUGGUAUACCAGAUUACCAGUGGUAUAAAGCUCAGAUAAGAUUAUAAUUUGUCAGAGGGAGGUAUUUAACAAUGGCUGAAGUAAUCGACGACCUAUUUUCGUCAAAUGUUGAUGAGAGGGAUGUAAAAUAUUUCGAAUUUCUAGCAAAAGACAAAAACAUACAGAACUGGAAAUAUGAUAUUUCAGCAAAGACCAUUAAGGCAAGCCCAAAAGACAGCUUCGAGCUCGAAGUUUUUAAGGAGGUCAUAGCCAUUUUCGAACGACGCGUGUGGAAAGAAGUAACAAGUACAUGGCUAAUUUCAGCCGUGAAAACAUUUUUUGAUGAUCGGAAACACAGAUCUCAAUUCGAGUUCGCACAUCCAGUAUUCAGUGACAAUCAAUGUGCCAAAUCGCAGUGCACUUUGUUUGCAUCGAAUCGUGUUGAUUUGGAAAGAUUGCUUGACAAGUUAAAACUCCUAUGGUCCCCAGAUAUUAUAUCACCAAAGUUCCGCUUUACGCCUGGUCGCGAGCUUUACAUUUGUACUGGCGACAUAGUUGAUUUUGAUGAACAAGGUACUGGUAUUGUAAAUCCAGUAGUUAUUCGUAGCAAUGGUAAAAUAGAUGGAAGAGGGAAAGUUUUUGAGAGACUGAAAGAAGCAGGUGGGAAGGUAUACACCGCGAAAUUGAAUGCUGUCCGUCAAGAUGGUUCUCAUUGUGUGACUACAAAAGGUGGCCGGUUGAAGUCAUUAAUGAUACACCCAACACGCAAAGUAAUGAAUGACCAUACGAAGAAAGAUCACUUUAUUGACAAUUUGAAAGACUGUUUUAUGGCCGCACAAGAGGCAAAUUUACGCAAGCUGAUUUUACCACUUGUUUACUCAGGUAUUUUGUUCAAGAAGUUUUGUUUGACGCUUAAUUAUUGUUAACUGGUACGUUAUUAUUUAAAUACAUGAGCGUUUGUCGCCGGGAAACUAGACAUACAAUAAAUAAACAUACACAGGCACAUUGAUUAUAGAACAAUCACUUUAGUGGUCCCCGGAAAUAAUGAAUUUAUUCUACGUAAAUGAGGACAAGGACUCGCGAGAGCUAGUCUUAAUUGCUUUCGACAAUUACGUAUGGUUUAUUUUUAAAACUACAGAAUUGUGUUUUAAAAGAGAGCGACGGUUCUGAAAAAAUCGGCAAAAUCGCAAAUAACUCCAAAGACGGGAUUUUCAUUAAAUGUUAAUUUAAUUGUGUGUGCAUGUUUUUGCAUGUCAACAACGUUAAACAAAAAAACAA